rnacentral:rRNA from 1 species
UACGGAGGGUGCAAGCGUUAAUCGGAAUUACUGGGCGUAAAGCGUACGUAGGCGGUUUCGUAAGUCGGGUGUGAAAGCCCCGGGCUCAACCUGGGAAUUGCAUUCGAGACUGCGAAGCUAGGGCGCGGAAGAGGGAAGUGGAAUUUCCGGUGUAGCGGUGAAAUGCGUAGAUAUCGGAAGGAACAUCAGUGGCGAAAGCGACUUCCUGGUCCAGCGCCGACGCUCAGGUGCGAAAGCGUGGGGAGCAAACAGG